rnacentral:lncRNA from 1 species
GACCGGAAUCUAUCCCUACGUCCCGUAGCGGAAAGGACCACUAGGUAAGUACAAAACCAUUGAACAUAUAUAUAUAUUGAAAAACAACUUCAUAGUAUAAAGUCAUCCAUCAUCUAUACUAUAAAGAGGUGUUUGAAACAUGUUCUAAAUAUCAUAUCGUCAUCCAUCAGAUAUUCUAUAAGAACACGGGUUAUAGGAAAAAUAGUAAUAAUUCAAAGUAGCCUCAGUAAGCAUGUUAUCUCACAAAACGUUUCAUAAAACGUAAUCAUCAAAUCAUGUUUUUCAUGUAUGCAUUUCUACUAUAAAACAUGCAUUUUAGAAGGGGUCCACUCACAGUACUUCGCCGUCGAAAACUCACGCAGCUAGCGAAGACAGAAACGCCACUAUAAUUGCCCCUCACACGACGUCUAACUCGCCGUGGUUUGUCCGGAAAACGCCUCGAAAGCCGCCGGACUCGCCGGAAACUUGCACGCCAGCCAACUCAUUGUGGUUUGGCCGGAAAUUCUCUCGAAAAUCGCCGGAGAUGGGUGUGCCUACACCCGUGGUGGUUUCGUCAUAAAAACCUAACCGGAGAUUGAAAAAUCUCGCCGGAGUCCCUUUUCCGGUUUUCUGGGGUCGCGGGAACGAAAGGGAGAGAGAAAGAGAGAGAGCAGGACGAGAUGGUGAAUGGUGAUGGUUCUUCCUCGCACACUCGUGUGCCUCUGUGCGUGUGUGUGCUUGCGGUGCAGAGAAGGGAGAGAAGUGAGAGCCGAGAGGGAGAGACAGGAAGACAGAAAACGAAAAAGAAGAAGGAAGAAAUGAGGGGUUCACAAGGGGGGACAGAGAGAGAAGUGAGGUAAGUGAAGGGGGUGCUGCCACGUGGCAGCUUGAGGGAGAAAGAAUCCAAGAUCAAAUUUCAGAUUGGGUAGAUAAAAUAGGACCAAAUAGAUAUAUUGAAAACGUUGAGGGGUUAAAUACAUCAAUAUAUUUUAUAAAUAGGGGGUGGGUGUUACAAUCUACCCCCCUUAUAAAAAUUUCGUCCCCGAAAUUUAAAAUCACUUGCUAAACUGAAAAACUCGAAAAUAGUAAGAAGAAUAUAUGUAUAAAGAGAAAUCAAGUCAGAGUGGGUGCAUCAAAGAGAAUAUGCCACACCGUCGCGAACGGGUUGCAAAAUCCUCUAUCAUGCCUCCAAACUCUUACUUUCAUCCCCAUUAGUGUAAAAGUAGAAAACAUACUUUAAUAAGAUAUAAGGUCAAAAACAUAUAUUGACAUAAGGUCAAAAAUAAGUACGCAAAAUACUAUAGCGUCAAAAAUAGAUAUGUACUAACAUAUAGGUCAAAAACUCGAGCUGAAUUUAAAAUUGAAAACAGAAAACACUUUCCUCAAAACAUUUGUAACACCAAAAACAAAUAACCAAAGUAAAUGAAGUUAAAAUACUUAUACUGAAAACCAAAACUGAAAAAAUGAGAGUGGGUCUCGCCCAAGAAUUCGUAACUUCAUGUGCUUCGAGAAAAGAUGUGUCUUUGGGUCGAAUCCCAAGAAUAGCUAAUCUGUAACAAUUGUCGUAGACGGAUCUUCCUGCCCACUUGCUUAACAAACCCAACGAAUAAGUUAUCGAUACAACAGUCGGCCGCCCGUGAUAUCGAUCACAUAUUUGUUGUCUCGAUAAGCAAGCAAUAAUUUCCUGAGGGUGCACAAUUUUUUUUUUCACGUCGUAAAUUCGAUCCUCCGAAUACCAGUUCACAAUACUCAUCUGCUAACCAGUGUUGCAUGUACCAACUCUCGUACCAUGCCACAACAAGUGCCAUACUCAAACCGAACAAAAUAAGAACUGUCCUUGUAAAACUUUAUCCAUCACCAAGCAUCCUAUCCUCCUCAGUUCUUCCAAAUGUGACCAACUACUCCAGUGCUUCACCAGUAAAGAACCCUUUUGAAAAUUGUACAUUGGGAUUCAAGAGAAGUGGCUACCAUGUUAGUAGUAGACCCAAAAGCUCGAACCAAGCAAGCAGAAAAUGAGAAGUCAUCUUCCUCAACACACAGUAUCUCUUGGGAGUUGUUGUAAUGCUCAAUCCACCUCUCCAUUUUUGCUUAGUUGCAGACUUCUAGUCAAACAAGGUCAAAGUUGGUGGAAAGAAGAAGGACUCUCAAGUGAUCAACGUAAAAACCCCAUGAGAGCACACCCCAUUCAAGAGAAGUUUAAAGAUCUUCCGAUUCUCACCUCGACAGCGCGGUGGUGUCAUUCCAGAGUGCACCAAACAGAUCUGCUAUAAGUGUUUCGACAUCCACCUACUCACAACAAUAAGGUUCAGAAGUGAAGCAGUGGAAAUAUGCGUUGAGAUGAACACAUAUCGUUGGAAAAUAACCGAUGUGAUGCCUAUGAAUUCUAGUAAGAUGGUGAUACAAUAUGCUGACCUUCUGCACUAAAACCUUCAAUCAACUCUUACUAAAAGACCGCUUAAACCUCAUGCCCACGUGCUCUCGAACUAAAGGAUCCUGGUGAGAGGUAGUGGGAAAGCUACGUUGAGGUGCGUUGAGGCGAACACAUCACAUCAUCGAAAAGAUCUACCAGAGUACGAUAUGAUGGUGAUGAAUUGCAACAAGAUAAUGAGUGGUGACCAUUCAAUUCAGCAUGAAGAUAGUGAUGCAAUAUGCUAAUCAUCCGCACCACAAUCUUCACCAGUCUCUUACCAAAAGACGACUCAAACUUCACACCCACAAGGAAUUCUUUCUGGUACGCCUGGUAAGUUGUAAAAAGAUUAUGCUCCCAACAUUCCUGUCCAAAACGAUAAGAAUUGGGCGCACACUUCCGCCGAAUCGAUCGAUCGUGAAUUCCUUACUGAUUGAGCGAGAAACCAUGUCGAGAAGGCUAAAAGAACACUCAAGAAUUUGAGAGUCAAAACAAGUCCAUUAAAACUAGAGCACAAGAUAUUGCGAUUUGAAUGAGAAACCACGCCGAGAACAAACGUUUUUUUUUUUGUUCCGGCAUGAUUCAGUUUACAUUGAGAAACAAACUAGCAAAGGAAAAUGAAGAUGCAGAAAUAGAAGUCACUGUUUAUGAUUGUUUGGCUAAUCAUCACAAUAAGGUUGACGGGUUUCUUAGCCAAAAGGAACAGGUCUAAUCUCAAGAAUAGUUAAGAACUGUUAAUAAGAUUUGACGAGGCCAAAGACAUUUCAAAAUUCACAAUACUUUGUGAGAGCUGUUUCAAAGUUCAAAAAUUAAACAUAGAACCUCUGAAUCAACAGAAUGACGAUGAAGAAAGAUACGAAGCAGCCCGCGUAUGCAUGCAGUGACACGAUUGGCUACCUUAAAGUGAUGCCUCUGAGCAAACCAAAGCUCAAUGAGUCCAGAGAAGUUUAGAGUAAGGCUCGAUCUUCAUACAAUGAUGAAUAUGGUAGAGUCUCAAGCCAUUACACUGAAAAUUACAAGGCUAAACAGUUAACGGACAAGAGCACUGGUCAGUUGGGUUACAAGCAAGAGGUUAAGUUUACCUCUACCAAAAGUACGAGGACAAGGGGCAUUUUACCACCGAGUACCAGACCUAGGUGAAAUUCAAGGAAUUUGUUUAUCCAAACAAAUCUGGAUUUUCAUCAUCUAAGUCAAACUACAGCAACAACAAGAAUCGCUACUUCUUUUGGAUUUUGGUGAGAAUAGCGUCUGUUACCAAGAAGUUCCCAAGAAAAAAUUUAAUCUCUAGACGAAGUCAAUUCUUAAAGGAUUUGAUGUGAAGUUAACGAUCAAAGGUUAGUGAACUUGUCUUCGUCAUUGAGUAAACAAGAAGGUAAUCGAUAAAACAAUUGCCGAGAAUUGUUAUAAAGAUUCACCCAAAUUUCUUCGGUGGUAAUGAGUCCGAGAACAUUGAUUUGCUCCCACUAACUACCACCUACUAACUGUUGUCACCACUAGCACUUACUCGCUUACUUAGCACGCAUUUCGAAUAUUUCAAGCAAUUUCCAAGAGAUAUGACUCUGCCCGCCAUUCCUAGGGAACGCAUGUUGCAGAGUGAUAUCAUCGCUUCAGAUCUCCAGUUGGUCUUAACCAAUUCGUACCACCAAGAUUUUUCCGUUUCCCAAGAUUUCAAUGCAAAGCCGACUCUGCUCGCAAUUCCUAGGGAACGCAUGUUGCAGAGUGGCAUCGCCAUUUCGGAUUUACAGCUGGUCUUGACCAGACUUCCUCAAACUGAGAUUUCUAAAACACGCCGCUUCCAGGUAACACCGACUCUACCCGUCAUUCCCAGGGAAUGCACGUCGCAGAGCAUCGAUCUGAAGUUGAAAGUCGUCCAACAAUUCAAACACGUCACCGAUGAGGCACAAUCCCGACACAAAUUCUUCUAUAUCAACCCGAAUGUGACAAUUCAAACAGAGGAAGAUUCGCACGACUGCGCCGAAUGGCACCAAAUCCAGAAGUCCUGACAUCCAAAUGAUGUCAAAACCGACACACUACUUUAGUAAGAGAAGAUCCUAAGUAUGCUCUGAACAAACUAGGCUCUGAUACCAAUCUGACACGCCCCGAUCCCGAUAUCCUUGGGACAUCAGGAUGGUCAUGUGCUGGCCGACACCCGAGGGUGACGAAAGCCAUUUAUUAAGUGCAAUUACUGAAAACAAGGAAUAAUUAAGACUUAUAAAUAUAAAAGAAUAAAUAUGCAUUUAAGGAACGUGUUCAGAGCAUACAACUAACUAGAACACUAAAGGAAAUAAUAUAAAAUUAGAUGAACAAAGGAAUGGAUCCUACAUCGAGAGGACUCGAAGAUACCAAUGCGGAAGUGCCUGGAUUGCCGGGAUUGUACGCCUCGAUCCUAAAUCCUGAAGGGGGCGCAAAACAAACAUGAGUGGACCAAUUUGAUAUAAAUAUAAUAAAACAGUUAUCAACAUACUAACCCCCAGGUUUAUGGAAACACAUAUAUAAUGAUAAACAUAGGUUUUCCGAAACCUAGCAUGAUGUGCAGUAUCUCAAAUCAUAACUCAUAUAUAAUAAUCACUAGUGAAUUGUCCGAUAACCCCCAGGCCCCAUGCCGGCUCCCCGUCUCUGAGCAGACAGUCAGAGGAAAAUACACUACAUGCCCCUUGCCGGCUCCCCAUCCCUGGUCUUAAAUGCCAGAGGAAACACACUCCAGGCCCUAUGCCAACACCAAACCGUUGCCCGGGACGGACCGGAAUCUAUCCCUAUGUCCCGUAGCGGAAAGUACCACUAGGUAAGUACAAAACCAUUGAACAUAUAUAUAUAUUGAAAAACAACUUCAUAGUAUAAAGUCAUCCAUCAUCUAUACUAUAAAGAGGUGUUCGAAACAUGUUCUAAAUAUCAUAUCGUCAUCCAUCAGAUAUUCUAUAAGAACACGGGUUAUAGGAAAAAUAGUAAUAAUUCAAAGUAGCCUCAGUAAGCAUGUUAUCUCACAAAACGUUUCAUAAAACGUAAUCAUCAAAUCAUGUUUUUCAUGUAUGCAUUUCUACU